rnacentral:rRNA from 1 species
GACGAACGCUGGAGGCGUGCUUAACACAUGCAAGUCGAACGAUGAAAUGGAGCUUGCUCCAUGGAUUAGUGGCGAACGGGUGAGUAACACGUGAAUAACCUGCCCUUAAUUUUGGAAUAACCCAGGGAAACCUGGGCUAAUACCGGAUAAGUAAACCUGUGGCAUCACAUGGUUUUGGAAAGUUUUUCGAUUAAGGAUGGAUUCGCGGCCUAUCAGCUUGUUGGUGGGGUAAUGGCUCACCAAGGCGACGACGGGUAGCCGGCCUGAGAGGGUGAACGGCCACACUGGGACUGAGACACGGCCCAGACUCCUACGGGAGGCAGCAGUGGGGAAUAUUGCGCAAUGGACGAAAGUCUGACGCAGCGACGCCUCGUGAGGGACGAAGGUCUUCGGAUUGUAAACCUCUUUCAGCAGGGACGAAGCGAAAGUGACGGUACCUGCAGAAGAAGCACCGGCUAACUAUGUGCCAGCCGCCGCCGUAA